rnacentral:misc_RNA from 1 species
CUCGACGGUUCCAUCUCGAUCUCCUCACAUCGUCUGUGUUUCGCUGUCUUGCGCCCUUCGUUGAAGGCUUGUAUAAUCACAGACACCAUCACAGCAGUACCCACUACAGAGACGUAGCAGACGAACAAGUACACGUGACUCAUACAGUAUAAGAGCCACCCCUUCACAGAGACAGAGAGGGGGAAGUGGCUGCACGUUCAGUCGUGGGACUGUGCCGUCUGCCGCGGAGUGCGUUGAGUCCAACGCCAUGGAGCUCAGCCCGUCGAAUGCGACGGAGGAGGCUCACCACAAAUCGUUGAACCCGCAGGUGAACUCCGUCUGCCACUGCGCGCAUCUGAGGCUGAAAGGCCCGCUGCACGUCGAGAAGCUGCGCGAGCUGCUCAAGAGGGUGCGCACGACCGUGCCGGGCCUCAUCGAGCUUCACUUUGGCGAAAGCAUGAAUGUCUCCGCGAGCAGCGCCGACUCCGCUGAGAGCAACACGCACGCCCUCUUCAGCCGCCACCAGAACGGGCAUUACCUCAAAAUGUACAAGACCCACCCGGCCCACAUGGAUCUCAUGAACUAUCUAAUGAGCAGGGCGGAGCGCCCGGCGACAGUGGUUGACUUCGUCAACGUCGCUUCCAGCCUUUGACAACCUGUCAACGGACCAGCCACCCAAAACGGUGGACGUCCGUCACACAUACGCACAAACAUGGAGAGGCAGAAGUGCGCUGUCGUGCACGCCGGUCGGCCGGUGCGCGAAAAAAAAAAGAAUAUGUAGACCAGACAUGUGCGCUCAUCAAGUGAGGCAGGUACACUCUGAGACGCAUUCGCCUCCGUUGCACCUCAUAAACGUCAAGAGCGAAAAAGGUAGCAUGGGGAGCUGCGCUCCCGCAAAUCAAGCUAACUAACCACCAGGAGAAAUAUAUGUGCAUUAGCGGAGGAGGCUGGCCCUUGAAGGAGCAGAAAUGGUGGAUGUAGGGGAGGAAAGUUGGGGUAUGGUGGUAUCUCCUCUUUUAUAGGACGGCAUAUUGGCGAUGCUCCAUUCACGAGCGUGGUGAGGCGAUACAUGGCCAUUGUGGGCGUAGUCGAGAGGGGGCGCUGAUUUUGACCUAGCACGAAGAGCGUAGCCCUCUGUAGGUACAGCAGAGUGAUGCUUGAGAAAGAAUGAGAGCGAUGCUGUUACUCCGUGCGCUAGUAGUACUGCUCACGGCGUGCCGAAUUUUUCGUUUUGACGGCGCCGCCUCUUUGCUUAAUGUGCGCCGCAUGUCCAUUUUUUUUUUCGUCCUUUUGUUGCAACCGAAGCGGGUCUCUCACUACCUUGCUCUUUCCUGAGCCUUUCCCUUUGCUAGUACUGCUCCGAUGCGCUCCUUGAUCACCGCCACGUACCUCUCGCAAGCCUCUGCCACUCUUCGCUGCUGCUCUUCCUGCACGCUUAGCUUAUUUUCUUUCACGGGCACCAUCCGCGAAGAGGCGCUGAUGGGGGCAUCCCUUCUCAAUAUUCCUCGUUCUUUUCCGCGCGUUUUUGUUCCUCGCCUGGCACCGCCAGCAACACCAAUACGCUACGACGCGCGAGAAGAAGAAACACUGACACUGGCCCUAUAACCACGACAACCUCAAAACAGAUAGACUAGCAUUGCAGAGUCUGUAUUGUCGCCCUCGGCCACGCGCAGGCAUUUCUGCACACACGUACGCGCGCCUGACCAUCAGCCAUUGACUGCGGACACCCACUCUUCUCGCGUGGUACAAAGAGAGACGCUCUCGAUUACUGUGUUCUUUUUGCUUGUUUUUGCUCCUACCUCUUUGGUUUUCUGUUUUCUUUGUGACGGGAGACGACUGCGUGGCAGGCAUAAGUUUGAAGCGGUCCUCGCGCCUUGCUUGUCGACAUGUACGUGUGGAUGCGCAGGUACUCCUAUAUUUGUAUAUCUAUCUGUGCAUGUAGAUGAUUGCGGUAGACGUGGCCGGGUCCUCUUCAUGCAAGAGGUUUUUUUUGUGUCUACGUGUGUGUGUUUACAAAAGAAGGACGACGACACGG